rnacentral:rRNA from 1 species
GCCUACGGGGCGCAGCAGUGAGGAAUAUUGGUCAAUGGACGGAAGUCUGAACCAGCCAUGCCGCGUGCAGGAUGACGGCUCUAUGAGUUGUAAACUGCUUUUGUAUUAGGGUAAACACCCCUACGUGUAGGGGCUUGAAAGUAUAAUACGAAUAAGGAUUGGCUAACUCCGUGCCAGCAGCCGCGGUAAUACGGAGGAUGCGAGCGUUAUCCGGAUUUAUUGGGUUUAAAGGGUGCGCAGGCGGCGAGUUAAGUCAGCGGUAAAAUUUCGGGGCUCAACCCCGACGAGCCGUUGAAACUGGCUUG